AACGUAGGAGACAAACGUUAUCCGGAGUUACUGGGCGUAAAGGGCGUGUAGGUGGUAGUGUAAGUCUGGCGUGAAAUUUUUCGGCUUAACCGGGAAAGGUCGUCGGAUACUGCACAACUAGAGGACGGUAGAGGCGUGUGGAAUUCCGGGUGUAGUGGUGAAAUGCGUAGAGAUCCGGAGGAACACCAGUGGCGAAGGCGACACGCUGGGCCGUACCUGACACUGAUGCGCGACAGCAUGGGUAGCAAACAGG
rnacentral:rRNA from 1 species